UCAAUAACUUUCUAGGGAUAUACAUUAGAGACUGCUGCAUAUACUUUAAAUAGGGUGCUUUUAAAGCCUAUUUGUAGCACUUCAUAUGAGAUAUAGAAGGAAAGAAAGUCGAAUCUUAAACAUCUUAAGAUUUAAGACUGUCUUGCUUAUGUCAGAAAUAUCUUCGGACAUAAGCUGUGCUAAAUCAGAUAAGUGUAGAUUUAUAGGGUAUUAUAAAAAAACUAAUGGAUACUACUUCUAUCAUUCUACUAAACAAAAGGUAUUUGUUAAUAGGUACAUCAUUUUUUUGAAAAAUAAAUUCAUCCAAGAAGG
rnacentral:lncRNA from 1 species